GUUGAGCUCAUUGACUCUACCAUUCAUUGGAUUGCAUUUGAUGUAUUCCCAUGCACAAGGAGAGUUAUCAUCUUCACUCCAUGAUAAGAGUUUUGAGUAAGGAUCAAGAAGAGCUGAUUUGAACACAAUGAGGCCUAAAACAUCAUCAUUAAGCUGCAUAGUAGUAUCAUCAGCUAAUAAAGAUCCAUACAAUAAGCCAAAAUGAAGUAUUAGAACUAAAAAAAGAUUAAAAGAUCUCAUUUUUAUGAUGGUGUUUUUAGUUCCUACAACAAGAGAAGCAAACAAAUGUUUUUCUCAGAGUAGUUAGAGAAGGGAAUGGAAAUGAAAAAGGGAAAAAGAUGUGAAUUUUAGGUAAUGGAGUACAAGUUUCAUUGGAUGAAUGUUGAGUUUGGG
rnacentral:misc_RNA from 1 species